rnacentral:lncRNA from 1 species
UCCGCUGCCACUAAUAAGGUGGGUGACAUUGCCAGCCACACUAGCGAGGAAGUUGUUAGAUGAGUUGGUUGAGAAUUCAAAGAGGUAUAUUCUACAAUGCAUAAUUUGAAUUAUAAAGCAUUGUAUACCACUCACGAUGGCCAUCAAAAAAUGGAUAGCUAUCAAAUAAAAUAAUUUUAUGUACCACAUAUGAUGCAUCACUAUGGACAGCUGUCUAUAUUUUGAUGGUGACCAUCGAACAGUAUACAGCAUUCUAUGGUGCAAACUAUUAAUACUAGAUCUACGCUAGUGGAGAGCAUUUGUGCACUUGCCAACCCUAUAGCUUACAGGCCAAUAACGAGCCAGGCCGGACAGGGUUGACCUCAAGUAAUUGGGCGCAGAUCUCAAGCCAGGCCAUGUCUGGUCCAAUCUAUCAACAUGUCUAUCUCAAUGUGCCUAACCCUAACAAUAUUGGACAGACAGCCUCCGAUAUCCCCAAUUUUCCACCAUUACUUCCCGCUUUAGCUCCCACGGGCCCGUGAUACCAAUAUAAAGUAAAUCCACAGCCGCACAGAUGCCAUUUAUGGGAUAGGUGUGCAAUACAUCUGUCGUCGAAAUUUCAUUGGGCCUGCCUAGCAAAUAUGGAUGAUAUUCAUGAAGACAAUUUUAGAGCACACACAAAUCUCAAAAUCUAUGUACCAAUUCCCUCAUCAAACUUGACAACAGGGCUUCAUUCUUUUGCCGUCAAGGUUGUCCUUUGAAGCAUAUCUGAAAGCUCUAUUGGUCGAUAUUUCAAAAAAGAAACAGCAGUCAGACCCAACCUAAUAUACAAGUUUCAACUCAGCCUGCUACUCAACAAUUUAAUAAAUUAAGGUCCACAAUCCUCCUCCCUUCUUUGUCCUCCCUUUUCCAAAACUCGCAACAUGCACCCAUGGCUGGGGUAACUUAGCUCCAUUAGCAAGCAACAAACUAGAUUCUCUCUCUCUCUCUCUGUGUGACUUCAUUUCAUGCAUCAUGUGAUGAUUCGAACAAAGACGAGCGUCUGGUAGGGAGUUUAUUACAUGGUUCUAGACCCUAUGUAAUUCAUAUUCUUACAUCUUUCUAAAUUACCCUUCAUGUCCACUUAAAAUUAAGCUCUUUUUUUUUUUAAAAACACCACUGUUAUAUUGUACACAUUCCAUAACCACUAUAGUUCAACCAUUUUCUGCCUUCUCUCCAGUUUAUAAAGAGUUCUAAUUUUGGUCAAGAAAAUUCUGAAAAUAUUAAAAUAAUUUAUACCAUGCUCCUUUCAAUAAGAGAGCAUCUACUUUUUUUUUUUUUAAAUAAUAACAAUAAUCAUCAUCAAGCAUCCAAAAAUCAAGAAUCCAUUCCAUUGAUUAUGAUACAUACUACUAAAAUUACUAACAUCUAGAAGAAACUCGCUGGUUGUGCAAUUGCAAUGCAAGAAAAGCUAGAUACAACGUUACGCGUGAAAGUCGUGUGCCGCUUAUCCAAGCUACAUGAGACUUGUACAGCAUUACGGCCAAAUGACGGUACUCUCUCUUCUUCUUGACUAGAAGGUAGUAUAUAAAUAAAUACUGACUGAUUAUCUCUCGUGAUUAUCUACCUUCAAAAAAUAUUCUUUCUCAUGAUUAUCAUCAAUAGUUACUAAUGAAAGAAAAAGUUCCAGAAGCCACUAGUUGUUACCCAACCUUUCAUUGGAAGCAAAUUGUAUAAUGAGCCAAAGUGUUAUUAAAACUACAGCUACUAAUAUUUUCUAAUAGGGUUCGCUAAACCACCUCAGCCAUCCAAUUUGCAGUAUAUUGAGCUAAACAAAUUAGCUAUCCAGACGAUUAAGUGGUUCAGCCAGAGGAUGAACCAAACAGAACUCUGCUACAGUUCUACUCAGGAUGGAGCCCUUGGGGACGGUUUGGACCUUUUGUUCCUCUUUUUUUUUUUUUUCUUUUCCUUUUAACUUAUUUUCUUCCUCUAUUCUUUCCUCCUCCCGUUUCAUCUUCUUCCCUUUCCUCCUCUUUUCUUUUUUCUUUUUUUUAAUUUACAUCAUCUUCCAUUCCUUUCUUCUUAUUCCUUUCUUUCUUUUUUCCCUUUUUUUCUUCUACACUAUUUUUUUUUCUUUUCUUCCUUUUUCUUCUUCUUUUCGACCUUUCUUUUUCUUCUAUGCAACCUGAAUCUCGUCUUAAGUAAUAUAUGAAAUGAUAAUUAUACAAGAAAAACAUAUAUAAGAAAAGAUGCAUAUAUAAUAUAUAUAUGAAAACAGGUCCACUCUAUUUAUAGUAG